rnacentral:rRNA from 1 species
UAGCCGUAAACGAUACUCGCUAGGUGUCGGCCACGGUGCGACCGUUGUCGGUGCCGUAGGGAAGCCGUGAAGCGAGCCACCUGGGAAGUACGGCCGCAAGGCUGAAACUUAAAGGAAUUGGCGGGGAGCACAACAACGGGUGGAGCUUGCGGUUUAAUUGGAUUCAACGCCGGAAAUCUUACCGGGACCGACAGCAACAUGAAGGCCAAGCUGAAGACUUUGCCGGAUUAGCUGAGAGGAGGUGCAUGGCGUAGUCGUGU